UAGUAGCCCUGGCUACCAGUCAUCCUACCAAGUAGGGAUCAACCAACGGUUCCAUGCAGCUCGACACAAAUUUCAGUCCCAAGCAGAUCAGGACCAACAAGCCAGUGGCCUACAGAGCCCUCCAUCCAGGGAUUUAUCCCCCACCCUCAUAGACAACUCUGCCGCCAAGCAGCUGGCCCGAAACACAGUCACUCAGGUGCUCUCCAGAUUCACUAGCCAACAAGGGCCAAUCAAGCCAGUCUCUCCCAACAGCUCUCCCUUUGGCACAGACUAUCGAAAUCUGGCCAACACUGCCAAUCCAAGAGGUGACACAAGCCAUUCACCUACUCCAGGGAAAGUGUCCAGUCCCCUGAGCCCCCUGUCUCCAGGAAUCAAGUCCCCAACCAUCCCCAGAGCUGAGAGAGGAAACCCUCCACCCAUCCCACCCAAAAAACCUGGUCUCACCCCUUCUCCAUCUGCUACCACUCCAUUGACCAAAACUCAUUCCCAGGCAGCCUCUUUGACCACCGCAGAAGACCUUGCCAGCAGCUGCUCUUCCAAUACUGUUGUAGCAAAUGGAUAAGGUCAGAGACGGAGGCACAAAACGUCCCCAAGAGGUGAGUUCUGUUUCAGGGAGACUGACAGACACCAGUGAGUGCUUUCUGCAAGGGUUGGGGCUGACCUGAGAAGGAGCUCCCAGGCCACAGCAUUCUGCAAUACAUCGUCCAAUAAUUUGUAGGGAAGAUCUAGGAACAUGCAAAAGGCAGUUUGAAAAAGGACCUGGUUGCCAAAAUACCUUAUUACCCAUCAAUGUCCUCUCCUACCCAUUUCCCUUUUUCACACCCUCUAAAUCUCUAUAAGCAAAUGAGGGAAAUGCAAACUAAGCUUUGAACAGAAUCAAAUGAGUCCCUCUGGGACACUUGCAGGGGACUUAUUUCUUCCGAAGGAUGUGACAGCAGCUUCUCCCAAUAGUGCAGUGUUUGUUUCACUGUUAGACUGGAGGAGCACAAGGAGCAUGCAACAUGUGGCUCUGUCCACACCACUGUGAAAUUGUUGGUUCUGAGAAAUCACUGGGGGAAGUGUUAAAACAAGAUUGGCCUUAUCUCUGGGGAGUCACCUGUUUAACCUGACAAGAAUCCUGCUCAUUAACUCAAUGUGUUAGACACUAGGAUGUGCCACAUGGGUUCCCUUUCAGGAGUGAAAUUUAAUUCCCUAGGUGCAGGGGAUGCUGACAGUAAGUGGCCCUCAGAUACAACCCCUUAUAGGAAUUACCUUCACUGAAAGAAAAUCAGCUUGACCAAAGUCACAGCUCCUUCCAUGGACAGCUCAUAUAUUAAUACAAAGACUGGGCAUGGUGGCUCACACCUGUAAUCCCAGCACUUUGGGAGACUGAGGCAGGUGGAUCACUUGAGGUCAGGAGUUCGAGACCAGCCUGGUCAACAUGGUGAAACCCCAUCUCUACUAAAAAUACAAAAAAAAAUA
rnacentral:sRNA from 1 species